GUAGAUUAUUGUGGAUUUAUGCAAAGCAAUCUGUAGUCAUUCGAAAUUGACUGUGUUACGACAAAUGCGUAUUGGAAUAAUUGCUUUCUUCGUUUCAAUAAUUAAUUUUCAAAUUGUAUUUUUGUUUUUUGUUGAUUCUUUGAAAAUGAGUUUUGCCGACUUCAUUUUGGUCGAGUUGUGCCAAAAACGUAAUUUCUAUAAGUUAAUGGAAAACGAAUUUUUGGAGUUAGGUUUACCUCCUGAUAUCGACAGCGCAUUUAAAUUUGCUGUAAAAUUAGGCAAAUAAGAGUCUGUUUAUAAUUCUAAAUGUAAAUUUACAAUGAUAACCGACGAAUGGAGUGGAUAUAAGCAUAUAGACGACAUAGAAGCAGUAAAUGUACAACAGAGAACAGUAGAAACCAUUUAAAAAAUUUGUAAACCCCAAACUGGAUAUCAUACUCAACAGAUGAAACGUUUAUGGGGGUAGUUAUAGAAUAAAAAGCACCUAGCAAAGUACUACAUAAACGAUCUUUCAGACUCCUACAUGUACUUAUUUAUGUAUGAAAAAAUUCAUGAAUUGGCUCCUUAGAAAACCUAAAGAGAGAUUCCAAAUUUUUGCACACCAUGAUCUAUCCUGGGACCGGAAAAAAAGAAAAUGGGUCGAAACAGAAACUGUUCCGUUAACAUUAGUGUCGAAUAUGAAAAAGAAGGAAAACAAUAAUAAUGCAAUGAAAAGGAAAAGCCAAGAACAAAUCGAAUACAGAGAAACACGAAACAACGUCUAAAAAAGUAGCCAAAUCGACACGAACAGGGAAGAAAGAACCUGCAACAAGCGAAAAAGAAUCUAUCAAGUCAGAAAAGAAUUUAAGAUCGAAAACAAAAAACCAUUGACAUGAACCUCAUUGUUCAGAAAAGUGUGAAAACAUGAACUGUGAAAAUGGAGACGUUCGUUCUAUUUACGACGGAUGGAAUUACAGGAGCGUGGUAAGUACUUUUUCUAAUUUUAAGUAUUUUUGUUAAAAAAUGUACCGUAGUUACACACACACACACAAUACGAGGGAUUUACUCAUUUUUUACUUCUUCAAAAACCUAGGUCGUCCUAUACGCAUGAGCGCAGGAUUGUUUUCGUUUUUGAAAUUUCUGUGAACUGUGUAUAGUUCAUGCUUUCAUUAUAGGUCUACAGUCUAUUUAUCGUAAGUUGGUACCUACUGUAAACAAAUUAAGGCACACGUUCCUUUGUUUAUUGGUUUAAUCUUAUGUCCAUUAAUUAAAAACCGAGUUGCAUCUCAUUCGUUGGCAUAUAAUACUUACUAUUUAUUUUUAAAAACAUCAAUGAAAUAUAGGUCAAUUAGCAAUAACUAUAAAUGUAGUUAUUUUAUAUUAUGUGUAGUGCUAUUUUUAAUUCAAACACUGAUACACAGCACAGUGGCACACCAACAGAAGAAAAUCUCGCAACUUAUUGGUCUUCUCUUCGGUCCAGUGCUGUUACACACGAUGCUGAUGCAGGUUGGAUCGAGGAGGAGAACAGAAACUUGCACAACAUACCAACUAUGCCCUGUGCUGAGAUAAAUGUACACGACAUCCGCUACGCUGUUAACAGAACACACAACGUGAAGACACCUGGUGUAGACAACAUUCACAAUUUCUGGUACAAAAAAUUUACAUCACUGCAUCGGGAACUAGCCAAACAUCUAACACAAACCAUUAUCAAUCCACAAGACAUGCCAAAAUUUCUUACUCGGAGCAUCACCUACAUGAAAUCUGAAAGCAACAGCAACACAGAUCCCACACAAUACAGACCAAUUACAUGUCUCCCAACACUCUACAAAUUAUUGACAGCAUGUAUCGCAAACAAAAUAUACAAACAUGUUGAAGAACACGACAU